AUGCGUGAUCAGGUCGACAUCGACCUGGACGGCUUCCCCCUCGACCACGAGUUCCCGGACGACUAUGGGCUAGAGGAAGAGGACGAGUGCGACAUUGAAGUGGAGCCUUUGUUCGAGGAUGAGCUCGCCAACCAAACCGCCGGUCCUAAGCCGAAGCGCAAGAGCAAGCGCACGAAGGCGUACACAGCUGCCGAGGACAAGCUUCUUUGCGAGUGUUGGCGAGACACUGGACAAGACCCAAAGACGGGCGCCGAGCAAAAGCAUUCAACCUUUUGGACUCGUGUGCACCGCGAGUUUCAUGAGCGCAAGAAGUUUCCACCUUACCAAUUUGUGAGCACGCGCGGGUGGGUCUCCAUUGUUGGGGAACGUAGCAGAAAUUCAAAAUUUUCCUACGUGUCACCAAGAUCUAUCUAUGGAGAAACUAGCUACGAGUAG
rnacentral:rRNA from 1 species